AGUUCAUAUAAUCUUUGUGUUUGUGCAACUUUAACAUUUAUAUAAAAAUAAGUAUAUCUGGACAAAAGAAUAGCAGUUUUUUUUUUUGAAAAAAAAAGAAAAGAAAGAAAAGCAGAUCUUAUAUGAGACAGGGACAAGAAAAGAACUGUACAUUCAUCUUUGAAUCAUGACUCUUAAAAGCCUGGUCUUUAUCAUCGAAAUAGAAUCUCUUCACAGGUCGUUUUCUGUGGUUAUUUCUGGACCAUUAUUGCAUUGCCAAGACUUCACAUGAAGGUACCUAUUUGUAUAUGUAUACGUAGUAAAAGUAUAUUCUACGAUGAUACUAAAACUAGUUAAGUUUGAGGUUAAUUCCCAAUAUAUAUGCUCAUUUAUAUAGUAUAGGAUCUGCAACUGGAAACCCUAAAAUCAAUCG
rnacentral:lncRNA from 1 species